UCUUUUUCUUCAGUUCCUCUUCUUUCUUCUUCUUUCUUCGACUUCUGCUUCUUCUUCUGUUCUUCUUCUUUCUUCUUCUUUUUUUCCGGCGACAACUGCUCUAUUUCCGGCCACCUCUGCAGUUUCUUUUUUCCUUCUUCUAUUCUCUUCUUCUUUUUCUGUUUUUUCUCCUCUGUUUUUUUCCCCUCUGGUUUUUUCUCCUCUGUUUUUUUCUCCUCUGUUUUUUCCUCUGUUUUUUUUUCCUCAACUGCACCAGUGAGGCAGUGGUUGUUUUGCUCCUAUUUUUUCUGUUCAAUAAUUGUUUAACUUUUGUUAUACAGUUAUAAACAGUAGGUUCAAAUUCAAUGGAAUCGUCGGACACUAGCAAAAAAGACAUAGGUUGGAAUUAUGGUACCAAAGGCCCAGCAAAAGAUUCAGUUACAUGUAUCUUUUGUCGAGGCACUUUCAAUGGCGGAAUUACUCGACACAAACAACAUUUGAUUGGUGGUUACAAAAAUGUAAAAAAAUGUACAAUUUGUCCGCCUGAAAUUAGGGAAGAAGUAAAAAAGUAUGUUGAAAGUAAACAGUUUGUUGCUUGUCUUGUCACUUAUGAAUUAUUGAGUCAUUGACUCAUUCAAGUUCUAGACUUUUAGUAUCUACUAUCUACUUUUAAUUUUUGAAUUGAAAUAUUUGCUAAUAUGUUAUUGCUAGUGAGAUUUUGAUUAUUUA